GAUGUACUCCCUCCAUCCGGAAUUACUUGUCGCACAAAUGGAUAAAAAUGAUGUAUCUAAAACUAAAAUACAUCUAGAUACAUCCAUUCCAAUGACAAGUAUUUCCGGACAGAGGGAGUAUGUC
rnacentral:pre_miRNA from 1 species